rnacentral:rRNA from 1 species
GAUGAACGCUGGCGGCGUGCCUAAUACAUGCGAGUCGAGCGAACAGACGAGGAGCUUGCUCCUCUGACGUUAGCGGCGGACGGGUGAGUAACACGUGGAUAACCUACCUAUAAGACUGGGAUAACUUCGGGAAACCGGAGCUAAUACCGGAUAAUAUAUUGAACCGCAUGGUUCAAUAGUGAAAGACGGUUUUGUUGUCACUUAUAGAUGGAUCCGCGCCGCAUUAGCUAGUUGGUAAGGUAACGGCUUACCAAGGCAACGAUGCGUAGCCGACCUGAGAGGGUGAUCGGCCACACUGGAACUGAGACACGGUCCAGACUCCUACGGGAGGCAGCAGUAGGGAAUCUUCCGCAAUGGGCGAAAGCCUGACGGAGCAACGCCGCGUGAGUGAUGAAGGUCUUCGGAUCGUAAAACUCUGUUAUUAGGGAAGAACAAAUGUGUAAGUAACUAUGCACGUCUUGACGGUACCUAAUCAGAAAGCCACGGCUAACUACGUG